AUGUUGGCCAAACAAUGUUGGAGUCUUAUCACAAAUCUCGAUUCUCUGUGUGCAAAUGUAUUGAAAGCAAAGUAUUAUCCAAAUGGGAGUUUAAUUCAGGCAAGCUUAAAAAAUGGAGAUUCAUUUACAUGGCAGAGUAUCAUGAAAGGACUUGAGUUGUUCAAAAGAGGAUAUAUUUGGAGGAUUGACUCAGGGGAGGAAAUAAAUAUCUGGAGUGACCCUUGGGUUCCGUCUAGUCCAGACAGAAAGGUCAUUACUCCCCGUGGUCAAGCCUUGUUAACCAAGGUCGGUGAGCUUAUUGAUCCAAAUUCCGGUACCUGGGAUGAAAGAGUUAUAAGGAUGAUCUUCAGUCCAGUUGACGCUCGUAGAAUCUUGCAAAUUCCAUUAAAUCACAAUGCUUUCGAGGAUUUUAUUGCUUGGCAUCCAGAUAGGAGAGGAUUAUUCUCAGUUCAAUCGGCUUAUCAUGUGCAAUGGAUGCAUACUUUUAGGUCCUAGGCAAAUGACUUCUCUCGUCCAGGAGGUUCUGCGAUUCCGUUGGCCUGGUCAGCACAAUGGAAGCUCACUAUUCCACGCAAAACUUCGAUCUUUUGUUGGCGGCUACUUCAUGGAAUCCUACCCCUAAAAGGCAUACUCACCAACCGGCACACGGGUGCAGUUGGGGCAUGUCCAAUUUUCCAUCAGAACUCUGAAGAUAUUCGUCACCUUUUCUUUCAAUGUAUACAUGCUCAAGGUCUCUCGAGGGAAUUAGGCUUGAGUGAAUUCAUUUUUUCGGCGAGCGAGGUCAACCGCUCAGGUUCGGUGAUCAUGGAACAUAUCUUGUUGCUUCCCGACUUGCCGCUUCCCAUUCUGCCAAGCCUGGACAUCAAGCCUAUAGUAGUUGUUGGAUGCUGGUUCCUUUGGUGGACUCGCCGUCAAAUAACUCACAGUGAGCCAUUCCCAUAG
rnacentral:rRNA from 1 species